rnacentral:tRNA from 1 species
GUCAGGAUGGCCGAGCGGUUUAAGGCGCCAGUCUCAAGGUUCAAUUCCUUCUCAUGAUUCAUUGAAGAGUGUUCUGGUCUCCGACACUCAAGGCUCAAUUCCAUCUCAUGAUGCAUGGUAGAGUGUUCUAGUCUCCGAAUGGAGUCGUUGGUUCGAAUCCCACUUCUGACA